UACGAAGGGGGCGAGCGUUGAUCGGAAUCACUGGGCGUAAAGCGCACGCAGGCGGAUCGAUAAGUCGGGGGUGAAAGCCCGGGGCUCAACCUCGGAAUUGCCUUUGAUACUGUCGGUCUGGAGUCCGGGAGAGGUGAGUGGAAUUCCUAGUGUAGAGGUGAAAUUCGUAGAUAUUAGGAAGAACACCAGUGGCGAAGGCGGCUCACUGGGCCGGUACUGACGCUCAGGUGCGAAAGCGUGGGGAGCAAACAGG
rnacentral:rRNA from 1 species